rnacentral:rRNA from 1 species
UACGUAGGGUGCAAGCGUUGUCCGGAAUUAUUGGGCGUAAAGAGCGCGUAGGCGGUCCGGUAAGUCGGCUGUGAAAGUCAAGGGCUCAACCCUUGAAAGCCGGCCGAUACUGUCGGACUAGAGUCCGGAAGAGGCGAGUGGAAUUCCCGGUGUAGCGGUGAAAUGCGCAGAUAUCGGGAGGAACACCAAUGGCGAAGGCAGCUGCCUGGCCUAGAACUGACGCUGAGGUGCGAAAGCGUGGGGAGCGAACGGG